rnacentral:sRNA from 1 species
AAAGGCCAUUGAGACACUUCGUGUAGCUAGAAGACACCAAUUCCCUGACAGGGGCUUUAUUUCCUUUGGGAUUUCAAGUUUACAGACGGUAUCUUCUCAAAAUUUGGAAAAACCUAUAGAGAUGGGCAGUAGCGAACCCCUUCCCAUCGCAGAUGGUGACAGGAGGAGGAAGAAGAAGCGGAGGGCCCGGGCCACUGACUCCUUGCCAGGAAAGUUUGAAGAUAUGUACAAGCUGACCUCUGAAUUGCUUGGAGAGGGAGCCUAUGCCAAAGUUCAAGGUGCCGUGAGCCUACAGAAUGGCAAAGAGUAUGCCGUCAAAAUCAUCGAGAAACAAGCAGGGCACAGUCGGAGUAGGGUGUUUCGAGAGGUGGAGACGCUGUAUCAGUGUCAGGGAAACAAGAACAUUUUGGAGCUGAUUGAGUUCUUUGAAGAUGACACAAGGUUUUACUUGGUCUUUGAGAAAUUGCAAGGAGGUACUUACCGUUGAGUAUGUGUGUGGACUUCUGAUUAAGACCCAGGGUGGUGAUCAUCCAUCAUGAAUCCCAGAGACUUCCAAAACGAGUCAAGCUAAUAAAAAGGAUGAAGGACUUAAAA